rnacentral:rRNA from 1 species
UACGUAGGUGGCGAGCGUUGUCCGGAAUUAUUGGGCGUAAAGGGCGCGUAGGCGGGAUAUUAAGUCUGUCUUAAAAGUGCGGGGCUCAACCCCGUGAGGGGAUGGAAACUAAUAUUCUUGAGUGCAGGAGAGGAAAGUGGAAUUCCUAGUGUAGCGGUGAAAUGCGUAGAUAUUAGGAGGAACACCAGUGGCGAAGGCGACUUUCUGGACUGUGUCUGACGCUGAGGCGCGAAAGCCAGGGGAGU